GCCAUCUUGGGAAGGGCAGGUUUUUCCCAGCUUUCACAGCGGCACGCUGGGGGCACCACGCUGCCCCAGGCGGUUGCCUAGGCAACGAAAGCAUCCUGAGACUGGGGUUGCCUCCGGCGAAGUUCCGUGAAGUACAAACCUAGAGGUCUUACCUGUUACACCUGCGCCACCUCGGCCAAGGAAAAGCCUGUGACUGCUGUACUAGCAUGGCAGUGUCUUGGCAGGAGGGGCCCUUAGAGAUCCCACUCCAAUCCUAGUUUUGCAGAGGAAGAAGCUAAGUGCCAGACAGAGGAAGCGAUUUUGUCCAGAGCCAUGUACAGCGGGUAGAAAAUCCAGAUCUUGCCCCUGAGAUCUCUGUGGCUUAGUUCAAUGCCCUCUGAACACCAGCAUUAAACUAGGAGGCAGGAGAGGUGUAUUCAGGUACUUUCUACGGUAUUUGGUGAAAGAGUCCUCACCUUCCCACCUCCCUCUUGAGUCCUGAGGACCUUGGGUCUCACUGAGGACCCAGCCUCCCUGAGUUUCAGCAAACGCCGUCAAUGCUGCUCAGCCAAGGAGUCUGAAUCUCCUCUUCCACCAACCUCUGCCGCCACUGUUGUUGUGUGGAAUGGGCCCUAGAGAAAGUUAGAAGUCUCCUUCUGCAGGUGGCAUGGGCCAGGUUGACCUAGUGUCCUUUGGCAGCUACCUCAGGGGUGCAGAGAUGCUGGAAGAUGAAGAGAUGAAGGUGGGUGAUGAUUGUCCACACAGCCCAUGGCCUGCAGGAAGCCCUCUCUCAAGUCUCAGCACCAUAGCAAUGACCUUCCGGGUGCCCCCCUGCUUAGCGGUUUGAAUCACCUUCGUGGGUCACUUUCAAGUUCACGCUUGUAAGAGGAGAACAAGGACAUCAGCCGCACCAUACAGCAUUUGGAAGGCUGAGGCAGAGGAUUGCUGUGAGUUUGAGGCCAGCCUGGGCUGCAAGAUUGAGUUUAAGGCCAACCUCCCUGAAGAGUGAAAACCUAUCUCUACAAGAUGACGACGACGACGACGACGACGACGACGACGACGACGACGACGACGAUGAUAAUAAAUGAUCCUUAGGGUUUGCAUCUUGAUAAAUCCUAGAAGGUUUUCGUUGCUUCCUGGGCUGCCUUUCCCUAUGGACUUCAUACCCCCUGGCAUGCUCAUCCUCCGUAGGUGUAGGAAGCCAUCAACAGGUGUCACUGGGACAAACGAAAAGAAAAUGGAUGGCUUUGUAAUCGGUGCCCAUCAGCGAGAAACCACAGCCCGCUUCAUCUUCACAGCAGUGGGGCUCACCUGAGCUCACCCAGCACAGGACCUUGUCCCACAGGACUGAGGGAGCCAGGUGGGGGCCGUAGUUUAUUUGAAGGGAGCACAGCAAAGUAAGACCUUAAUCUGGUCUUUCCAGCUGGACAGGAAGCUGCUGGGGUGAGGGCCUCGCCCUGUCCACUGGGCACUGUCCACAGGGCCCGGCACAACGCCAGGCAGGGAUGAAAUGUCAUAGGGACCCUGUGGGGGCUGGGGAUUUAGCUCAGCGGCAUAAGCGCCUGCCUUGUAAGCAGGCAGUCGUGAGUUCGAUCCCUGGUACCGAUAAAAACGAAAAAGACAAAAAAAAAAAAAAAAAAAAAAAAAAAAAAAAAAAAGGGACCCUGUGGCUGUUAAGGAGAUGGGAUUCACUGUGAACCCAGGCGGGUGCCCUGGGACAGAGAGAAGUCCGGAGGGUCAGAGGGGCCAGAGGUGACAAGGCCCCACUGGGUCAGCAGCAGUGGCUCAAGUCUGUCCACAAAGCUGGACUCAUCAGGCCCAGCAGAGGUCCUGGACUCUGGUCUUGGAGAAACAGCACCCUUCAAACCACAGGCUUUCCCAUGUGGUCACUCCGCCACCCCAGGAAGGCACUGCUGUCUCAGCUGGGGGCUGGGGGACAGUCACCCUUUGUCUGUCUGUGUCUGGAGAGUGAAGGACCACAGACACAAAGACGUGGAUGAAGGGCACAGAUGGCAAGGCGGGCACUGUCACUCUGCAGGUGACAAAGCUGCUGGGUCACUUCAGCACACGCACAUGUGCGCACACACACACACACACACACACACACACACACAGAGCCUUCCCCAAGAGACCCCCGAGGAGUAUCUCAAAUACAGCUUUGUGGGCUCAGAUCCAAAUCUCUGGGAAAGGAGAAAUCCUGGAGGUCACAUUGUCACAAAGCUGCAGGUGACAUCAGUGUCAACACCUGUCUGAGACCCACUGUGUCUGAGGUCCAGAAUGCAGGGAGUCUGUGCUCUCAGGGCCAGGGAAUGGGGCACCACCUCCCCUGCAGAUGAGGGUGCUGGUGGUGCCCAGGUAGAGAGGGAGGGCAGGUGGGAAGGUUCUGGGGCAGAAGGCACAGCCCCCAGAGGGAGUCACAGCCAUGUGGGGGACAGUGACUGGUGACCCCCACUUCUGCAGUGUCCUGGGUAAAGUGGGGCGUCGAGGGCCAAAGUGGGAGAGGCAGGAGUGCCUUUCUCCAGGUGGCUGCGAUUUUGGGAUUGGAACCAGCCUCCAGCGACCGCUGCUCUGUGCGAGUCUCCCUGGCUCUGUCAUUUUAAGGAAGUCACACUAAUGAGAGCACCUAGCAUGGAGAACUCCCAGGUUGUCUGCUUCCGGAAGGUGUUCAUCAAGUCUGCAGAAGCUUUUCCCCAGCCUGGCUCCUCCUCAACACCCUCCCUCAGGCCCUGGUGCCCAUACGUCUACUUUCUGUCUCUGUGGAGUUGCUUAUUCUGGACAUUUCACAUAAAUGCAACUGCUUAACA